UGGCGGCGUGCCUAACACAUGCAAGUCGAACGGAGUAUAAAGGAAGCUUGCGAAUUUAUACUUAGUGGCGGACGGGUGAGUAACGCGUGGAUAACCUGCCUGAUAGCCUGGGAUAACAGCUGGAAACGGCUGCUAAUACCGGAUACGCUCGGGAGUUCGCAUGAACAUCCGAGGAAAGCUUUCGUGCUAUCAGAUGGAUCCGCGUCCCAUUAGCUAGUUGGUGGUGUAGAGGACCACCAAGGCGACGAUGGGUAGCCGGCCUGAGAGGGCGAACGGCCACACUGGGACUGAGGCACGGCCCAGACUCCUACGGGAGGCAGCAGUGGGGAAUCUUCCGCAAUGGGCGAAAGCCCUGACGGAGCAACGCCGCGUGAGGGAAGAAGGCCUUCGGGUUGUAAACCUCUGUUUUCAGGGAAGAAAGACAUGACGGUACCCGAAGAGUAAGCUCCGGCUAACUACGUGCCAGCCGCAGC
rnacentral:rRNA from 1 species